UCUAGUGCUUGUUUUAGCGCGUGGGAAGUUAAAGCCUCUCUGGGCUCGCUAUCUAUCACAUUUGGUCAGAGAGCAGGGUGAGAGUCGUUGUGGGCCCAUGUGGGCCCCAGGCUGCUGGGUCACUGGCCGAAAGACCCAGACACAGGCUCUCACCACGGGGGAACGUUCUGCUUUACGCCCGGCGGUCACACUUAGCACACGGCGCCUCUUAGAGGAAAACUGUGGAGCGCUUCGUCGAUAAUCGACAAUACACGGACGCUGCUUGGUAAAAACGGAUUGACGUUGUUCAUGCUAUGCAUCACCAUAAACAAUUGUAGUGAAAUGGCAGUGUUUUGGAAGGUGAAGUCGUCGACAAUGUUUUGGAUGGAUAGCCCGCCACGCUGCCUCUGUGACAGUUAGUUGUGGUUACAGCUCGAGAAGAUGAGAGGCUUUAUUGAGUUUUGUGUAAUUUAAAGGGCUCUCCCCUUUUGCCAUCCCGAUUAGAUGUUGCUGUGCAAAGUGAACAGCCUUGCUGGUGUGAGUGCUAUGGCGCUGCAGUGUCAGACAGACAGAGACAGGGUGGCAGUCUGCUCCUCUCCCGCGGGUCCCACACCGAGCGCUGCUGUGCUCUCUCAAACCACUAGAACGUGCUCUUCGACAGAUUAUCCACACACUCCUCCCUCUCUCAUCACCCUCUCCUUGAGAGCAGGGCCCUGCUUCUAAUUUGUAAAAGAGGCAGACAGAAUGCAAUUUAUAACUGUGAAAGCUGUAUAAAACCAACACCGACGGUACUCCUGAGGUUCUAGUGGUAGAGCCGGUCUGGUAUAAAUAUUCAUAGACUGGGUCCAUCCGGCCAGCACUGGACCCUACACCAUGAUCUCCCCAGCAGGACUAAAGCCUUACUGCUAGAUUGCCAUAACACUGAUUUCUGGAAAAAGAGAGGAUGAUGAUGAUGAUAUACUAUACCGAACAGUCAUACACUGAUUUAGAGAGAACAUUUAGAAAAACAUAUGAUUGUUAGUAAAGACAUGCAGUUUAGAAGUUUACAUACACCUUGGUAAAAUACAUUUAAACUCAGUCUUUCACAAUUCCUGACAUUUAAUCCUAGUUCACAUUCCAUGUCUUAGGUCAGUUAGGAUCACCACUUCAUUUUUAGAAUGUGAAAUGUCAGAAUAAUAGUAGAGAAAAUGAUUUAUUUCAGCUUUUAUUUCUUUCAUCGCAUUCCCAGUGGUUCAGAAGUUUACAUACACUCAAUUAGUAUUUGGGAGCAUUGCCUUUAAAUUCUUUAACUUGGGUCAAACAUUUUGGGUAGCCUUCCACAAGCUUCCCACAAUAAGUUGGGUGAGUUUUGGCCCAUUCCUCCUGACAGAGCUGGUGUAACUGAGUCAGGUUUGUAGGACCUCCUUGCUCGCACACACUUUUUCAGUUCUGCCCACAGAUUUUCUAUAGGAUUGAGGUCAGGGCUUUGUGGCCAUUCCAAUACCUUGACUUUGUUGUCCUUAAGCCAUUUUGCCACAACUUUGGAAGUAUGCUUGGGGUCAUUGUCCACUUGGAAGACCCAUUUGCGACCAAGCUUCCUGACUGAUGUCUUGAGAUGUUGCUUCAAUAUAUCCACAUAAUUUUCCUCCCUCAUGAUGCCAUCUAUUUUGUGAAGUGCACCAGUCCCUCCUGCAGCAAAGCACCCCCACAACAUGAUGCUGCCACCCCUGUGCUUCACAGUUAGGAUGGUGUUCUUCGGCUUGCAAGCCUCCCCCUUUUCCGCCCAACAUAACGAUGGUCAUUAUGGCCAAACAGUUCUAUUAUUGUUUAAUCAGACAAGAGGACAUUUCUCCAAAAAGUAUGAUCUUUGUCCCUGUGUGCAGUUGCAAACCGUAGUCUGGCUUUUUUUAUGGCGGUUUUGGAGCAUUGUCUUCUUCCUUGCAGAGCGGCCUUUCAGGUUAUGUCGAUAUAGGACUCGUUUUACUGUGGAUAUAGAUACUUUUGUACCUGGUUCCUCCAGCAUCUUCACAAGGUCCUUUGCUGUUGUUCUGGGAUUGAUUUGCACUUUUCGCACCAAAGUACGUUCAUCUCUAGGAGACAGAACGCGUCUCCUUCCUGAGCGGUAUGACGGCUGCGUGGUCCCAUGGUGUUUAUACUGGCGUACUAUUGUUUGUACAGAUGAACAUGGUACCUUCAGGCCUUUGGAAAUUGCUGCCAAGGAUGAACCAGACUUGUGGAGGUCUGCAAUUUUUUUCUGAGGUCAUAGCUGAUUUCUUUUGAUUUUCCCAUGAUGUCAAGCAAAGAGGCACUGAGUUUGAAGGUAGGCCUUGAAAUACAUCCACAGGUACACCUCCAUUUUACUCAAAUUAUGUCAAUUAGCCUAUCAGAAGCUUCUAAAGCCAUGACAUAAUUUUCUGGAAUUUUCCAAGCUGUUUAAAGGCACAGUCAACUUAGUGUAUGUAAACUUCUGACCCACUGGAACUGUGAUACAGUGAAUUAUAUGUGAUAUCAUCUGUCUGUAAAGAAUUGUUGGAAAAAGGACUUGUGUCAUGCACAAAGUAGAUGUCCUAACCGACUUUUCAAAACUAUAGUUUGAAAUUUGUGGAGUGGUUGAAAAAUGAGUUUUAAUGACUCCAACCUAAGUGUAUGUAAACUUCCGACUUCAACUGUAUUAUGAUUGUUGAAGAUAAUGAUAUUUCUACUACAAAGGGAAAAACACUGAAAAAGUUUCACAUAGUAAUUGUACUUCUAUGGGGAAAACAAUUGGAAUGACAUCAUCAGACUUAAAAACUGGAGGCCCUUGAAAGAGAGGUGUCGUAUUGCACCCAUAAUCUAUUUUCCCCCCACUUCACAUGAGCUUGAAAGGAGCAGGAAGAGCAGAUGACUUUGAUUGACAGGCAGAAGGGGCUGUGGAUGUAUCAGUGUCUGGUUGGAGGGGAGGGAGGGGUAACUUCCCUGACUGACAGGCAGGGGGCGGGACUCUCCACAUCCAGAUGGAAAGAGGAAGGAACCAGACUGCUCUUUCUCUUCAGAUGGCCAUGUUCAAUUAGAACCACUGAACUCAGACCUGUUUCUAUUUCAUGCCCUAAAUGACACAGCUAGCUUUUCAUCCAUUGAUGUGUUUUUUCUUUUCUUAUGUAGUUCUAGUUCAAUAUGCUGACAUAUAUAGGCUAGGUGUUACAUUUAAGUAUAACACAGUAAGGAAUAUACCUACUGAGUUAGAAACAAUUUUUACAAACGUGUAAGAGAUAUUUUAAAAAAGCCCUUUAAAAAAGCCCUAUCUAAUGUUCAGUUAAAAUACCAACCAAAGCCAUUCUUCUUUGUUCCAUAUGUCCAUAUGGUGAGGGUGCAGAAAUGACCGACACAGCCCCCUUUUAGCAGGGUCAUAACAUGUAAAUAAUGGAGUGAGAAAAGGAAUUAAAGGGAUAUGCAAGACUGCACCGGCGAUUGAAAGUUGCAGAUGAGGACCAGUCCGAGGCACCAACACUGUUCCAGGACCCUAUAUCUUUGUGCUCCUCAAAAGGACCAAUUUAGAUUUAUCCAUUUAGAUUCAUUAUCUGAGUUCAGCUAGCCAGAUGUGAUUAGGGGCCAGUCCCCAGGGGACAGAGGAUAGGACACUGGGCCAGGGAUGAUAUCCCCCCCAUGCUGACUGACUACCCUGGCAUCCACCACAUCCACCAUCAUAAUCCCCCAGAGUCGAAUGGGUCUGAGCCAUAACUUAACACUACCUAUAGGAUUCACCCCAAAACCAGGAAGUAAGAUGUGGUAUUAUUUGCACUUAUUUGCGUACAUGUGGAUGCUCAUGGAAAUGAUUCAAUUGGGUUCACAAUGAGGGAAUUGUUAGAAGCAGAGAUGGGAAAACGCUCACAUUGUCUGUAAGCCAAUAGCAUAAAGGGGGCUGAUUUUUUGUUACGGGAAAUGUUGAUGCCAGUGGAAUUGAUUAUCUCCCUGUAGCACAAAGAAAGUAAUUAGUCUUAAUUAAAGGGGUUGUGUCAUUUGAGGUUUCAGGACUACGUCUCAGACUAACGCAAGUGACUCGGCUGUAUGUAUUUUUUAAUUAUCUAAUAAAUUGAUUAGCUCAUUCAUUCAA